rnacentral:rRNA from 1 species
AUUGCACGUCUAAGCAGUAAGGCUGAGUAUUAGGCAAAUCCGGUACUCGUUAAGGCUGAGCUGUGAUGGGGAGAAGACAUUGUGUCUUCGAGUCGUUGAUUUCACACUGCCGAGAAAAGCCUCUAGAUAGAAAAUAGGUGCCCGUACCGCAAACCGACACAGGUAGUCAAGAUGAGAAUUCUAAGGUGAGCGAGCGAACUCUCGUUAAGGAACUCGGCAAAAUGACCCCGUAACUUCGGGAGAAGGGGUGCUCUUUAGGGUUAACGCCCAGAAGAGCCGCAGUGAAUAGGCCCAAGCGACUGUUUAUCAAAAACACAGGUCUCUGCUAAACCGUAAGGUGAUGUAUAGGGGCUGACGCCUGCCCGGUGCUGGAAGGUUAAGAGGAGUGGUUAGCUUCUGCGAAGCUACGAAUCGAAGCCCCAGUAAACGGCGGCCGUAACUAUAACGGUCCUAAGGUAGCGAAAUUCCUUGUCGGGUAAGUUCCGACCCGCACGAAAGGCGUA